CUGACACAGCAGCCAUUUUGCCGCCCCUGGGUGUUGGGGUACAUAGCAACCAACCAGGUAGCAACAAGUGAGCUCUGCCGCUUGCUCAGGGGCAGCCACUUCCUGUGUCAGAUCUGCCCCUUGGGUAGGCUCCUGAUGUUCAGCCCACCUUAUUUGGAAGGGGAGCGGGAGGCUUUUCCGUGUAAGUACUUCCCAGUCAUGUAAGUUAUCUAUCCAUAUUCACCCCGGCUCCCUGAAAUGUUUACUCCCUGUAAUGACAUAGCUAUUUUCAGUGACAAUUGCGGCAGCUUCUAGGCCAGGCUCUCUCUGGUUCCGGCUUCCUCUGCGUGCGAGCGGGAGGACAGGAGCAGCAGAUGCCCCACUACCGGUAGCCUCGGUGCCAACAAUCUGCCUGUGUUGCUGAGGGUGCCCCGGGCCUCUUUUCCUGUCUGCCCUCCCUUCAGAGCUCCUAGCAAGGACCGGGCUGUCUAGAAUAUGGAAGUUACUUGAAAACAUGGGUUGACCUGGGUUGAGGAAGAGGAAGAGAAAGUGCACGUGGGAGGAAGCUAUGGCAUCAUCCAUUUGAGCCGACCUGGAAGAACAGAGGUCCAAUGGCAUUGUAGUUGUAAGUCCUGUCCUCCCAUUGGAGGAGGGGAAGCUGAACCUGAUUGGCUGGGGCCCUGGCCACAAGGCUCCACCUUCGUCUCAUAGCCCAUCACCAUUCUCAAGUCCAAGAGCCUUUUAUACUGACAAGCAAGUACCCCUGGGAGCAGGGGAACAGCACACUCUGCUGCGAGCGGGAAGCCAUAGGCUCCAUGUAUGCAGCGCUCGGUGCAAGGACAGCCCUCCGCAAAAGCAGAGAGACGGGGUAGAUUUCACGCCUCUCCUCCCUUCUAUUUCUUAGCUCAUGGAAGCAAUUCGCCUUCACGGGGGAAAUGCAACCAUCAUCAGAGCCUUUUGCCAUCCCUGAUUCUAGUCCCAAAAGCUAACAACUAAUGUUAACGAUCCUAAGAAACCUCUUGGCAACAUAGAUUGCUAUCUAACGUAACAACUUACAAAUGCAGAACACGUGUGUGUGUGUGUGUGUGUGUGUGUGUAUUUGUGUUCGUGCACAUAUGUGUGUCGCUGGAGAUCAAGCCCAAGGUGUCAAGCAUGCUAGGCAGGCACUGUACCAUUGAGCUGCCUGCACCUGUGCACCUGUCCUGUGGAGUGUGAGCAAUGAUGGCAGUCAUUGUUAAUGUUUCAGCAGUACACUGAUGCUUAAGGUUGUACGGCGUCAUAUCAUUACUCUUUUGUCUGCCCGCAGCCAGCAUAUAGAAGAAAACUUCUGGUAACA